GGCGGGCGGACGUAGCC
rnacentral:tRNA from 1 species